rnacentral:rRNA from 1 species
UACAGAGGUCCCGAGCGUUGUUCGGAUUUAUUGGGCGUAAAGGGUGCGUAGGCGGCGGAGUAAGUUGGGUGUGAAAUCCCGGGGCUCAACCUCGGAAUGGCAUUCAAUACUGCUUCGCUAGAGUACUGGAGAGGAGGCUGGAAUUUACGGUGUAGCAGUGAAAUGCGUAGAUAUCGUAAGGAAGGCCGGUGGCGAAAGCGAGCCUCUGGACAGUUACUGACGCUGAUGCACGAAGGCCAGGGGGAGCAAACGGG